AGUGUUGGACUGCGUAAUGUAGGAUACUCUGAUAUAGUAUAUUUUGAGAGAAAUCUCCUUCACUA
rnacentral:tRNA from 1 species